ensembl:lncRNA
ACCAAAAUAUCCUCACCUGCAGCCCACGAGGAUUACUUUGCUUCAUCGUUGUAUUCUAACAACCCUGGGAUGUUGGAUUGAUUACUGACGCCAUUUGAGAGAUGAGGAAAUAAAUUCUCAUACAAAUGAAGUGGUUUGUCCUGAGUCAGAGAGUUAGAAAACUUCAGAGGCGAGAUUUGCACCUGUAGUCCUAAGCCAGUGUUGAGGCUGAAGGAGACGGUAUUCCUGGUUAGGUAAGCAUCCUGUGCCAGGGCUCGGAGUGGGCCGGAGGGUGUGGACUGCAGCUCUGCUUGGGAAGCAGGAGGCGUGCAGAGGUCUGACUCCUGCUGUCCUCGAGCGCAUCAGGCCCUUUCUGUGCUGGAGAAAGCAGAUGGAAGGAAAGUUACUCUGCACAGAAUUGCUGUGAAUCCUCCAUAACAUGGCUAGGCCUCUGUGAGAGUGACUGCUUUGGUGAUAACCUGGGACUGGGGACUUUUUCUGCAAACAGAUUACAUCAUUACCACAAGAGAGGCUUGAGUUCUGAGGAUGACGGUUUUAUAGCCCGUAGACCCCCACAACUGGAGCCAUCUGGACUUCUGGAAGCCUGGUACCAACCAGGUCCAGGAAGAAGACGUCCAGCACUCCAGGAGUCCCACGCGCUCCCUCCCAGUUGCAAUGCUCAUACUCCUCCUUGGAGAUUCCGUCACUCUGGCCUCCAACCUCCAGCUGAGUUUGCCUGCCUCCAAACGUUAUGAACCCAUGGGCUGCGUUUAAACUUCUGCAGAGCUGAUUGUUCCUCUCAGAGACUCAUAAUCAUCCCAAAUCUUCGACUCAGAAAGCCCUUCACCAUCCAACCUCAGUUCCAUCCCAGAUAUCUGCUUUCCCACAGCCCAGGCCACAGAUGUUCACAAACCUGGGUGAGAAUCUGGCAAUAGCUCUAACACAGGUUUUGUCAGUUACGAGUAACGCUGCUAUAAGCCUCCCUGUGCAGGCUGCUGUGUGGGCAUAAGUUUUGGACUCCUUUGGACUGCUGAUCCUGAGUGUUUACUGAAAAAACCAUGGUUGUCAAACCUUUGUGCUCGUGAUCAUCACCUGAGAGCACCUGGUUACACCUGUAGGCUUCCUCCUCAACCAGAAAUUCCGAUUGGAGAGAUUGGGAAUCUUCAUGGGUAGCCAGGCUCCCAAGGGAUGCUGAAUCAGACGCUCCUCAGACCACACUCUGAGGGGCCCUCAUACAAUGAGCCACCACUGGCCACUGGGAGCAGGUGGAGACGGGCUGCUGCUUCAGGGGCCGUCUCGGAACUCCCAAGUGAUGUCCUGACCAUGUGGGAGAAAGAGUCAAAAAGGCGGGGGUUCGGAGCUGUGCUUUUGUGUUCAGACCGUCCUAGGUUCCAAUCCCACCUCCACCACUCACCAGCUGUGUAUCCUCAGUUUCCUCAUUUGUAAAAUGGGAAAUAGGCACUUCCCAUGGGAACAUGGGGAAGAGUAAUUAAUACACAUGGAAGGCUCCGUACAAAGCAGAGCAUGCCAUGCAUAAUAAAUAC